CGACUCCGUCCGUUGGUCUUCUUCAUGGACUCGUUCUUCUUCCUUGCGGGAUCUCAGGCAAGAUGGCCGUACCCUCGAAAUCACUUCUAUCUUUGCUUGCUAGAUGCUCGCUCUUUUGCUAUGCCUAUGCUGCGAUACCUACCACUUGUUUAUCAUGCCUCCCAUAUUGUUAAGCCAAGCCUCUAACCACCUUGUCCUAGCAAACCGUUGUUUGGCUAUGUUACCGCUUUGCUCAGCCCCUCUUAUAGCGUUAUUAGUUGCAGGUGAAGAUUGGAGUUUGUUCCAUGUUGGAACAUGGAUUGUUGUUGGGAUAUCACAAUAUCUCUUAUUAUAUUAAUGCAUCUAUAUACUUGGUAAAGGGUGGAAGGCUCGGCCUUAUGCCUGGUGUUUUGUUCCACUCUUGCCGCCCUAGUUUCCGUCAUACCGGUGUUAUGUUCCUUGAUUUUGCGUUCCUUACACGGUUGGGUUAUAAUGGGAACCCCUUGACAGUUCGCCUUGAAUAAAACUCCUCCAGCAAAGCCCAACAUUGGUUUUACCAUUUGCCACCUAGCCUUUUCUUUCCCUUGGGUCGGCCGGCUCAAGGGUCAUCUCUAUUUUAACCCCCCGGGCCAGUGCUUCUCUAAGUGUUGGUCCAACUAAGCGAUGUCCGGGGCUACCAGGGGCAACUCUGGGCUGGCCUACCCGGCGUCUGGCUCAUCCGGUGUGCCCUGAGAACGAGAUAUGUGCACCUCCUAUCGGGAUUUGUCGGCACAUCUGGGUGGCUUUGCUGGUCUUGUUUUACCAUUGUCAAAAUGUCUUGUAACCGGGAUUCUGAGCCUGAUCGGGUCUUCCUGGGAGAAGGAAUAUCCUUCGUUGACCGUGAGAGCUUGUGAUGGGCUAAGUUGGGACACCCCUACAGGGUUUUGAACUUUCAAAAGUCGUGCCCGCGGUUAUGGGCAGAUGGGAAUUUGUUAAUGUCCGGUUGUAGAAAACCUGAAACUUGUCUUAAUUAAAAUGCAUCAAGCGCGUGUGUAGCCGUGAUGGUCUCUUCUCAGCGGAGUCCGGGAAGUGAACACAGUGUUGGAGUAAUGCUUGACGUAGGUUGUUCUAGGAUCACUUCUUGAUCAUACUUGUUCGACCGUGCCUUUGCCUUCUCUUCUCGCUCUCUUUUGCGUAUAUGUUAGCCACUAAAUAUGCUAGUCGCUUGCUGCAGCUCCACCUCAUACCUUUACCUUACCCAUAAGCUUAAAUAGUCUUGAUCGCGAGGGUGUGAGAUUGCUGAGUCCCCGUGACUCACAGAUACUUCCAAAAACCAGUUUGCAGGUGCCGAUGAAACCGUGUAGGUGACGCAACCAAGCUCAAGGAGGAGCUAGAUGAAGACCUUGUUCGUAGUGUUGUUUCAUUUCAGUUGAUCAGUAGUGGAGCCCAGUUGGGACGAUCGGGGAUCUGUGUAGCAUUUGGGGUAGUCUUCUUUUAUUUUGGUUCCGUAGUCGGACCUUGAUUGUAUCUGGAUGAUGUAAUGAUUUAUUCAUG
rnacentral:lncRNA from 1 species